rnacentral:rRNA from 1 species
CCGGCACACGGGUGAGUAACGCGUAUGCGACCUGCCCGUUGCAGGGGGGAUAAUCGGGAGAAAUCCCGUCUAAUACCGCGUAACGCCGCGGGGCUGCAUGGCCCUGCGGCCAAAGGGAGCGAUUCCGGCAACGGAUGGGCAUGCGUGACAUUAGCUAGUUGGCGGGGCAACGGCCCACCAAGGCGACGAUGUCUAGGGGUUCUGAGAGGAAGGUCCCCCACACUGGUACUGAGACACGGACCAGACUCCUACGGGAGGCAGCAG